UUUACAUCUGAAAACUGGGGUAUCUACAGCAUUACUUCAGAGUUUGUGUGUCUCUUCUUGUGUCUACUUCAGGCAUCUUUUUGCUGAUAAGCAGGGUUGUGAUACACAGUCAACUCCAGGGUUAUUGGUAUCCUUGGUAAAGAUUAAAAAAAAAAAAAAAGUCUAUGAUUUAAUUAGCUUCUCACGCUGAACAUAUUUUGCAUAAUAAAUGCAUUCUUAUUCAAAGUAAAUUAUAGGCUCUUUAAAAAAAAUAAUAAAACAACACCUUUAUCAAAAAAUAUAAUUUUGUCCUAAUUAUUUGCACCUUUCUUAUAAAUAAAAUACAGCUGAAGCAGGUUUCUGUUACACACGCCCGUUAUGUUUUACUUUCACUUCACCUGAGUGCUUAGGAACUCUUAAACUGUCAUCCAUGACCUGCUGUUUCACUGGGGUAGAAAUAUGAGGUGACACAGAUGCCAAAAUUCCUUAGUCAUUCACCAGCGCUGGGAGGAUUACAGAAUUAUAGAAAUCAAACCAAACAAAAGUGUGUUGAUCAUCAACAAGGUUGUAAUUAUUUUAGUGGUCUCUUUGUAAAAGCCCCUUCCUUCCCCUGUGAACUAGGGCUAGCAGCCCCUCUUCUUCUUAUGGAGCAAGCUGGUGGUGGUUGUAAGGAGGCAAUGAGGGGGCUGUAAGGGGGCAGUGAGAGGGGACUGGGGUAGCUCUUUUUAUUAAAAGCCUGAGUUCACCACCUCAAUUUUGGGGAGAAAAGAAAACAGCACAUUCCUAUCAUCAGCUCUGAGUGGAGCAGCAGGUGCAGGAAUUUGUUUUGAUUGCUUUAGCCGGGAAUGCAUUAAUCUGAAGAGAUGCAAGACCUGCCUCUCUAUUUGCAGUGGCCAUGGAGUCAAGUCUAAAAGUCACAUGACUUCAGUCUACCAGUCAGAGUGCCCAUGCUGACCCCUGUUCACCACCGAAAGCACCUACAAUGGGGACGUGAGCAUCAGAACUGGACCAUGGAGCAACGGAUGAAGGUUUUCUUUUACAAUUUGUGGAUAGCCUGGUGCGUGUACAUCACUUACCUGGGGAAGAGAUGGCACCAGGAUGCACUAUGGGAAGAAGGCAAGGCAAGUUUGGGUCCUGGCAUUCAUGUGGAUGUUACUUUGACACCUACCACCUAACUAAACAUUGUUGCAGACCAAUGUGCCUCGCUACACUACAAAAAUUGUUCAGGAAAGGUUUGAGGAACAUGACAAAGAGGUCAAGAUGUUGACUCUGCCUCCAAAUUCCCCAGAUCUCAAUCCGAUCAAGCAUCUGUGGUACGUGCUGGAAAACAAAUCGGAUCCAUGGAAGCCCCACCUCUCAACUUACAGGACUUGAAGGAUCUGCUGCUAACGUCAUUUGUGCCAUAUACCACAGCACACCCUCAGAGGUCUUGUGGAGUCCAUGCCUUGACAGGUCAGAGCUGUUUUGGUGGCACAAGUGAGACCUCCACAAUAUUAGGCAGGUGGUUUUAAUGUUAUGGCUGAUCUGUGUAUAUAUGGGGGAAAAAAUGUUAAAAAAAAUAAUAUAUCUAUCUAUCUGUCUAUCUAUCUAUCUAU